ACAGAACAAAAAUGGAGAGAAGCAAAGACAGAGCCAUUAAAUAUCGAGGCCUAAAGAGCAUGAUCAGUCAGAACUGAGUUAAGAAGCAAGAAAGAUAACUGGCAACAGUGAUGAAGGAGGAGGUGGGGAUCCCGCGGCAUACUGAAGGAGGAGAGCCCCAGGCAGAGGGAACGAUCAUCAGGACUCUGGACAAUUAGGACAGAGGGCACUGCACUGCUUCCCACCCCCACCUCACGCCAUGCCGCUGCUAUUUGAGCCCACUUCAGACUAUCGGCCUCUGGGAAGGAAGGCCUAUGCCUUUUUAAAUCUUCUCUUUGGAGUUUAUUCCAGUGCCCUGCAUGCAUGGAGGGAGAAUCCAAUCAAUGCACGACUGCUGAAGUGAUGACACCUGGUAUGGCUCUCAGCUUGUAUUAGGGGAUCAAUGAAGUCUGGUUUCCUUCUUUGGUUGCUGAGCAAGUUCAUAA
rnacentral:lncRNA from 1 species